rnacentral:rRNA from 1 species
UCCAGACUCCUACGGGAGGCAGCAGUGGGGAAUAUUGCACAAUGGGGGGAACCCUGAUGCAGCGACGCCGCGUGGGCGAGGAAGUAUUUCGGUAUGUAAGGCCCUCUCGGCAGGGAAGAAGAAAUGACGGUACCUGAAUAAGAAGCACCGGCUAAAUACGUGCCAGCAGCCGCGGUAAUACGUAUGGUGCAAGCGUUAUCCGGAUUUACUGGGCGUAAAGGGAGCGCAGGCGGCGCGCCAAGUCUGAUGUGAAACCCCGGGGCUCAACCCCGGGCAUGCAUUGGAAACUGGCGGGCUGGAGUGCCGGAGAGGUAAGCGGAAUUCCUAGUGUAGCGGUGAAAUGCGUAGAUAUAAGGAAGAACACCAGUGGCGAAGGCGGAUGACUGGACGGCAACUGACGGUGAGGCGCGAAAGCGUGGGGAGCAAACAGGAUUAGAUACCCGUGUA